rnacentral:tRNA from 1 species
GUUAUUGUAGCUCACACUAAAGCAUGGCACUGAAGAUGCCAAGACGGACAUCAAAAUAUCCCAAUAACA